CACCUAGGUGCUGAGUCAUUUCUCUGGGGUCUUUGAGCCCUUAUUAGGAGCUAGGGAAAUAGCUUACACCCAGAUAAAUCAGUUCUGGACGAAAGAAUACCCCAAGGUGAUUGUUAGCUACUCGGGCAAAGUGAAAAGCAAAAUGAAGUCUUUCCCCGUGGGAAGUGAAGAAGCUCUGGAGCACCAUGGCUCCUGGCGCCAGCAUCCAGACAGUUCACCUGCUGGGAAGAGGACGGCGGGGUCUGUCCUUGUGGGCAGAGCAAUGCAUGAUUUCCAUGUAAAAAGAAGCGAAUAAUGAUGGGACCACUAUGAAGAAAGCUUCUGAGGACAAAGGCAGCUGGGGAGAUCCCAAGAGGAGACCAAAUAAGGAAAAAUGCAGUUGGCUAGAGAAAUCGGUGAGAAUCAAGACUCUAUGGGUUGAAACCUGGCUCUACUUACUGGCUAUAUAAACUUCAAGCAACUUGUUUAACCUCAGUUUCCUUCGUAAAAUAGGGAUCAUAAUAGCACCUAUCUUACAGGCCUAUUGUGGGGAUAAAGCAUAACACACAUCAAAUACUUAGCUGGCUUCCCUUUGAGUUCUGUUUCCUCUACUGAGGGACAUUAGACACCACCCAUAAAGGAUGGAAGAUGACUUUUUUCCUUUCCUUAAUUUUUGAUGGAGAUUUCAAUCUAGAAGAACCACCCCUAGAUAAAAAAGUUCUAUACACAUCUGUAUUUCAAAAACAUUUUGGCGAGGCACAGUGGCUCAUGCCUGUAA
rnacentral:lncRNA from 10 species